AUUCAACGCUUUUUUCCGUGCGCUAGGGUUUGCCCAUCCUUCGGCUCCUCCUGUAGCAGCAUCUCACCCCGCGGUCGCCGUGGCGGCGAUGGAUCUUGCGGUGGACGGGAGGUGCGCGCUGCUGUUCGGGAGCGAGGUGGCUCUAGAAGUAUAGAUAGUCUUGUUUAAAAUAUCUUGGUACGUGUUUUCAAGUGUUCUUAUCUGUAUCUUGAAUGAUGUAUUUUAUCUCCUAUGCUUAUUUCUUCCAUUUACUUGUGCAUUUUUGUCACCCCCUCAGUUUUUAGUCGACAAGCAACUCGUUUCUUUGUGUUUGAUGCAUCCUGGGAGAUUAAGACUGCAACUAGGAGCUUCUGGUUGACUAUUAAGACAAGAUAUUUUUGACUGCAUCAACAAGUGGUAGAGCUAUGAUUUAUCAAAAAGGAAACAAUUCAGAAGAAAUUAAUCUUUUGUUAUAAGAUAUCAGUAGUAUUGUUUAUGCUGUGAGAAUAAACAAUAACAAAACUGUAAGUCCUAAUAUUUGAGAUCGACUACUACAUAUAACCGUAAGGUCAUAUGUUUAGUUAAUUUAAGUGUAUUUAAAUUUUUAUUUAUAGUAUCUACUGUUAAAGUAUUUUUAAUUUUUUUUAUCUCCCAUGUCACUAAAAUUAAUCAUUUCAUCUCUUCUGUCACGUUUGUAGGUUUGUUGAGCACAUGUCCAUACCCUCUUGAAUGAUUCUAUUUAAUUUUAUCUUCUAUCGAAGUAAUAUCUAAUUGUUGAUGAAUAAAAAUAUUUUUUUCUUAUCAUUCUCGGUAACAACACACAUAGGGGUGAAAAAUCAAAGAGCAAGAUCCAAGAGACUAUAACAGAGACUAAUUGGGAUCUCUUGCAACCAAAAUUUGGUACUGGUCAUCCUUAAAAUUGAACAGAAGAAGUGGAUUUUAUAUAAAUGUAAUAUAUGAUAUGCAACAUUUUUUUUUUGUUGAUGGUCAACCUCAACAUCUUAUGAGAGAAGCUAACAAAUUUCUUCAAACUGUCAGUUGUUGUGAACUUAGUCAAAGACACUCAUAGAGCUCCGUUUGGAACUAGUACUAUGUUUUUGUCUUCAGCCAGAAACUAGCAUGGGCUAGGAAACAUUCUUAUCAUUAUUCCAGCAAACAAAUGUGAGGGAACCAAGCUUAGAAUAUUAGUUUUACUAAAUUUUACAAAAAAAAAUAGAUGCUGGUUAAUAGUGUCUUGUGAUAGCUCUUGGGUUUUCCGAUGAGUGCAAUUCAGAUAUACAAUUUGAGUUUCUAAUAAUGUUUUUUUCUAAGCAUUCUAGGAAGGCCUUGCAUGUGCAGGCUUCGCACUGGCAUUCUGUGCACGAUUCUCCUACAUUCUAGAUGCUGAUCAUUGCCAAUGGGGCCUAAGCCAUUUGGCCAAUCACUAAUCACAGGACAGAUUAAUGUUAGAGAACUUCUGACUUGGGCCUGAAUGUUUUCACUCCUAAGUUUGUAUUCCCUCCUUUCUCCUAUUUGCUUUCUGCUUUUAUACAAAAAACAUUGUGCAUAUGAUGGCUUUACACUUGAUCUCUGAGCUUUCAGGUAAGUAAUAUGCUGACCAGAACUCUCUGCUGAUGCACAAGUUUCUUUUUUUACUUUUUUCCCUUUUUGCUUGGUUUUUAUGAUAUUAGUGUCAAUCAAUGCAGUUUCAUUGUUAGAGUGUCGCUUAGCAGAGCUUUUUCAUUUUUCUCGGAUAUCCUCUUCUAGUAUGUUUCUGUGAAUUUUUAUUUAAAUUUAGUGCCAUCCUCGUUUGUGUUUCAAUUCUUUGAUUUAGGAAGGUUGUGAUUCUCAAAGACAAUUGGGCUUCUCUAUCUCAAGUUUGAUAGGGCAACAUGACCUUGAUGGAAUGCUUCUACAUGAGGGGUUAAAUUGGUAUCUCUCAAUCAAGAUAGACAUUGGUAUCUCUCAAUCAUAGUCCCAUAACAAGAUAGACAUUGGUAUCUCUCAAUCAUAGUCCCAUAACCUCUUUUAAUUUUGUUUUUAAGAUGUGACUUACAUUGUGUUUUGUACCUUUAUGUCGUGGCUGAGGUGUCGGCAUGGUUGGGUUCGUCCCGAGUGUGCAAGAUCACCAGCAUGGCCUCUGAGCUGGAGCGUGUUAACCCGAGGUUUGGUUGAGUGGGGGUAGACCUUGUUCUCUUAGGUGGAGGCUGAAGGUCACUCAUUUAGUUGUCCGUUGGGUGCUUGCACACAGGUCAUAAUCGGGAGGGGGAUUUUCGACCCGACCCCUCCGCUGCUUAAGCUAGCAAGAAUUGGAGAUGAGAGAGUUGGAGUGUGUGUGUGUGUGUGUGUAUAUUUGAGGUCCGACCCCAAUGCUAUUCUUGGGGGUGGCUUUAAUACUUGUUGUCGUGUGUUGACGUGCGUAGCUGUUAAUGGUCAUCGACGUCUUCAUACACAUGUGUUUAAAGAUGUCGUCGCCAUGGGUGGUCAGCUUGUAUGUUGGGACACGGGUGCAAUCUGAUAUGUCUGGCCCUGCUUCAUUUGGUGUUGCUUUGGAGUAGCUCAAGACGGGGCUACGUUGCUUCGUACAGCCUCUUGGUGCAAUGUGCUGGUGCAAUGUGCUAGCAACGUAGAUGACAAGCGGCUGCCUCGUUCAGAUCAGGGAUGUUGAGUUGGCUCAGUGUGCUUUGGAACGUUGUGCCAGGUCCGUGUUUGUGGAGUUGAUGCUAGAAUAUGCUAUAAUCACAUUGUAUUAGAUUUAACUAUUUAUGAGCGUAAUUUGAUCUUGGAAUUUUACUCGUAUGUGUUUGGUUGUAUGGAAGAUUUGUGGAUAACUCUUUCUUUUGUGAGCUUCUUUGCGAUUGUUUGUUCCUAAAACAGCUUCUGUUUCCCUUUAAGAAACAAGUAUUUACUCAUGGAAUUCUUACAAUU
rnacentral:lncRNA from 1 species